rnacentral:rRNA from 1 species
UACACUCCUACGGGAGGCAGCAGUGGGGAAUAUUGCACAAUGGGCGCAAGCCUGAUGCAGCCAUGCCGCGUGUAUGAAGAAGGCCUUCGGGUUGUAAAGUACUUUCAGCGGGGAGGAAGGCAAUACGGUUAAUAACCGUGUUGAUUGACGUUACCCGCAGAAGAAGCACCGGCUAACUCCGUGCCAGCAGCCGCGGUAAUACGGAGGGUGCAAGCGUUAAUCGGAAUUACUGGGCGUAAAGCGCACGCAGGCGGUCUGUCAAGUCGGAUGUGAAAUCCCCGGGCUCAACCUGGGAACUGCAUUCGAAACUGGCAGGCUUGAGUCUUGUAGAGGGGGGUAGAAUUCCAGGUGUAGCGGUGAAAUGCGUAGAGAUCUGGAGGAAUACCGGUGGCGAAGGCGGCCCCCUGGACAAAGACUGACGCUCAGGUGCGAAAGCGUGGGGAGCAAACAGGAUUAGAAACCCUGGUAGUCCCAUGA